AUGAGGAUUCUUAACAUUCUGAAGAAUCACUCAAAACAUCUCCACAAAAUUCUCUCUGCUAUCUCAACUUCACGAUUCAUUUUUCAUAUUCACUCUCAAAUUGCAACCUUCAUCUUCAAUCAUCUCCAAAAACCAGAAAAGUUUUUUAGAAAUCAAGUUUCGUUCACAAAUAUCAUAAAACCACAAGAAGCUUUCAAUAAAAAACCCUAA